UACGGAGGAUCCAAGCGUUAUCCGGAAUCAUUGGGUUUAAAGGGUCCGUAGGCGGUUUAAUAAGUCAGUGGUGAAAUCUGGUCGCUCAACGAUCAAACGGCCAUUGAUACUGUUAGACUUGAAUUACUGGGAAGUAACUAGAAUAUGUAGUGUAGCGGUGAAAUGCUUAGAUAUUACAUGGAAUACCAAUUGCGAAGGCAGGUUACUACCAGUGGAUUGACGCUGAUGGACGAAAGCGUGGGGAGCGAGCAGG
rnacentral:rRNA from 1 species